AAAUGUAAAUAUUUUUGUUCCUUGGCUGUAAAACUACAAAGAAAGAUAAAAGUAAGAUCAUCGGGAGUGUCGACAUUAAGGUGAAAAUUCCUAGUGCUUUAGAUAAUACAUGGGUCCCCAGUCUGAUAACAGUAAGGCUCUGGUCUGAAUGCUGGUGUCUUGAAGGACUACGGCAGCAGCAUGAUUGCUUCCUCCAGGGUGAAUUUCAUGGGAUUUUCUCUAUUUUCAUUAAUCUGACAAAUCUAUCUUAGAAAAACUCUUCCAUGCAGAUAGCAUGGAAGAUGCUAUAAUGAGUCUAUGCAUGCAUAAUGAGUCUAAUCCUGAGUGAAGACUUCAGAUGUGACUGUAAACUGGCAGGAUUUUGAUACUGGUCUGUUAAAUUUCCUAUCCUAUGCUUCACCUUAUGCCAAAAUGAAGGGAUGAGAGAAAGAGAUUUGAUGAUUUUCUUGGGGCUUGAUUUUUUUUUCUUCAUUUCUCACCAAUCCCAUUAUUUCAUUCUAAUUGGACUACAUUUUUAUUGUCAGCUAAAUGCUUUUCUACUAGCCACUGAGUGCUCACUGGCUGAAUACCAGUCUGAAUACCAGUCCCUGAGAAUGCGCAGGUCUUCCACAGAGGUCCUGGAAGAGGGAGAGCAAGUAGAGAAGAGCUUUUCUCCUGCGGAAGUGCACAGCAUUCACCGGCAGACAUUGUUGCUGAGCAGGGAGAAUGGUAAAGUGAGGGAGAACUGGUGGAAGUGCCUGAUCCCAGCUGCCUGAGUGAAUUAAGCUCAAUGCCUGCGUGAGUUUUGCUGACUCUGGUUUGGGGAGGUACUGGAUGGGAGAGCAAAUGACAGUUGAGAAUCUGCUGACAUUUUUUCCAGUGGCUUUGCCAUUAACAGCUAAGCUCAUGCUCUUCACUUUAACAAAACCCUUUUAGAGCCCCAUUAGUGCUGUUUUUGUUUUCUCUAGUCUGUUUCAUAGAUAAUUGUGCCUUGUUUAUGGAAAAGCCUGAGGUGAAGUGGAAGCAAUUUCUCUUCAUUCCAGGUGGCAGCAAAGCGGAUGCCAAAUCCUGCUCUUGCCAAAGACUAGCAUGUUCCUGAGCCUUCAUGCUUCUUCAUUUUUACUUUCCCAUUGUAUUCUUGCUAAGACUGUCACAGAGAUGGGAAAUGGGUCAUCUUGAAAUAGCCAAAGAUGGCCUUUAGGUCCUUCCACAACAUAUGGCGUUUCAUGGCCUCUUGCAGAGCCUGUGGCAAAAGGGGACACUUGCUCUGAGGCAAAUCAUGUCCUUGUUUGUGCCACAGUGGGAUGCUGCUGCUGCAUGUCUUCUUCUGUAGAGCUUUUGGAAACAUGAUGUACCUUUACCCUGAGCAUCUCUCUGAGCAGCUUUUGCUCCUCUGUGAUUAUCCAUCAGAGGUUUCUAAAAACGAUGGUGAUGCCACUAAGAGUGAUUAUAAAC
rnacentral:lncRNA from 1 species